AGGGCUUGACAUGCGGGGUGAAGCCGGUGAAAGCCGGUCCUCCUUCGGGAGCCCGCACAGGUGCUGCAUGGCUGUCGUCAGCUCGUGCCGUGAGGUGUUGCCUUAAGUGGCGCAACGAGCGCAACCCCUGUCCGAUGUUGCCAGCGGGUAAUGCCGGGGACUCAUCGGAGACCGCCGGUGCCAAACCGGAGGAAGGUGGGGAUGACGUAGAACGGUUGGUU
rnacentral:misc_RNA from 1 species